AUUUUCAUCUCGAAUUUAUGCCCCUAUUUAUACAUGACAAAACUUUACUGGCCUUAGCAAUGGCAGAUUGACAUUGCAUAUUGCUGCCUAAUUUGUAACAAUUCCCAGAUCCUUCUCGUGAGUGGUUAUCCCUAGUUCACUACCAUUUAGGGUGUAAAUUGCUUGUGCAUUCUUAACCCCGAAGUGCAUAACUUUGCAUUUCUCUACGUUAAAUUUAAUCUGCCAUUUUAGUGCCCAGUCCCCCAAUCUAUCCAAAUCCCUCUGCAGCAAGGCAAUAUCCUGCUCAGAUUUUAUUACUUUACAAAGUUUUGUGUCAUCUGCAAACACUGAUACAUGGCUUUCAAUGCCCAUUUCAAGAUAAUUUAUAAAUAUGUUAAAUAGAAG